UACGUAGGGUGCGAGCGUUAAUCGGAAUUACUGGGCGUAAAGAGUGCGUAGGCGGUUCUUGAAGUCCGCUGUGAAAGCCCCGGGCUUAACCUGGGAAUGGCAGUGGAAACUGGGGGACUUGAAUUGAGCAGAGGGGGGUGGAAUGCCGCGUGUAGCGUGAAAUGCGUAGAGAUGCGGCGGAACACCGAUGGCGAAGGCAGCCCCCUGGGCUUAAAUUGACGCUGAGGCACGAAAGCGUGGGGAGCAAACAGG
rnacentral:rRNA from 1 species